ACUCCAGUAGCUUAAACAACAAAGCAUUGGUCUUGUAAACCAAAGAAUGAAGACCCAACAACCUUCCUAGAGUA
rnacentral:tRNA from 1 species